UGGGGGAUAUUGCACAAUGGGCGAAAGCCUGAUGCAGCGACGCCGCGUGGGGGAUGAAGGCCUUCGGGUUGUAAACUUCUUUUGCUCUGAACAAGGCAUGCUAAUGGGUGUGUUGAGUGUAGGGGUUGAUUAGCGCCGACUAACUACGUGCCAGCAGCCGCGGUAAUACGUAGGGCGCGAGCGUUGUCCGGAAUUAUUGGGCGUAAAGGGCUUGUAGGUGGCUGGUUGCGUCUGUCGUGAAAGCUCAUGGCUUAACUGUGGGUUUGCGGUGGGUACGGGCUGGCUUGAGUGCAGUAGGGGAGGCUGGAAUUCCUGGUGUAGCGGUGGAAUGCGCAGAUAUCAGGAGGAAUACCGGUGGCGAAGGCGGGUCUCUGGGCUGUUACUGACACUGAGGAGCGAAAGCAUGGGGAGCGAACAGG
rnacentral:rRNA from 1 species